UGAGGAACAUGACCUUCGGCGGGGGAUAGCCGGCCCAACGGCCGGGUAAUACCGCGUACGACCACUUUGGGACAUCCCUCGGUGGUGAAAGCAGCAAUGCGCCGAUGGAGUGCCUCGCGGCCUAUCAGCUAGUUGGUGAGGUAAUGGCUCACCAAGGCAACGACGGGUAGCUGGUCUGAGAGGAUGGCCAGCCACAUUGGGACUGAGACACGGCCCAGACUCCGUAGGAGG
rnacentral:rRNA from 1 species